CGGCAGUCUGAAUUCGAUAGAUAAUUGUACUAACACAUCCAUCCCAACAACAAAAACAAAAAGACUGUAGCUCACAGGACAUAGAAUAUUCUGGGGGAUGCUGCAGUUCUCAACCCUUUGGUGCAAGUCUAUGGGGGUUGCAGCCUUGCUUGUCAUAGAACCCUCAAAGACUCUGGUUCAAUCCUUCCACUCAACUCAGAUCAGUUGUGGGGACACUGCUGCAAAUUGUGGGCUUCAUUGAAAGGCCAAGGCUGGUCAUUUCAACCUCCUCUGCCAGUUGCUGAAAUGAUUCGAGUAUGAACUCAGAGCCCAGAGACAGGACUCAUUUGGACCAAUGUUUGCCACAGUCUGCAGUCGGUUACGACCUGUUUCCUCAAUGGCUGCCGGAAUAAUCUCUUCAACAUGUUGAAUGAGGCCCCCAGGCAUACACACUGAGUGCAUUUUGUGCAUGAGGUUUUCUCUCCAAAUCAUUUACCAACAAGGUGGCUAAGCCAGUGUGAAUGCCCUGGACUCACAUUCACAAAGAAUGGGUUUCACAUCCUGUUUGAUCAUUCAGACUUAGUUAGGUGAAUGCUGGGAUGUGUCCUAUAAUAAGGCCAUGACCAACUCCUGCCCUACCCUUACAUAAUACUAUUAUACUUUGUAUAUAUUUAUUUAUGUAUGUAUGUAUUGUUUCUGUAAUGUGUCUGACGUGUCCUGUACUGUUGUGCCACUUGGUCAAAGGAUUAAUAAAUAAAUGCUUAAAAUAAUUUACAUUUA